rnacentral:Y_RNA from 1 species
GGCUGGCCAGAGUGCAAGAGUGUAACAGUGUUUACAAUUCAUUGAUCACAGCCAGGUACAGAUUUCUUUGUUCCUUCCCCACCCCCACUGCUUCACUUAACUAAUCAAGA